rnacentral:snRNA from 1 species
AUGCCUUAAAUUUAUGAGUAAGAAAAAUAAUUGUUUGGGGUGAUACCUGAAGCCUCAUUGCUGACACGAGAGCAGAUUUUGAGUAGGUGAACCCUGCCCCUAAGGUGACCUGCUGAGUGAGAUGCCUGAGUACAGGCAUCCUC